rnacentral:lncRNA from 8 species
GUUUGGUUUUUGAAGUGCUGGCCCCUCGCUUCUCCUCCUGCACACGCUCAGACAUGGUGUGGCAGAGGGUGUGCUGAAAGCUGCUGGAGAACGUCCCGGAGUGCUGGCUGGAAAGAGUGCUCACUGGGCUAGUGCAGGCUGUCAACAGGUAAGGGAUGGGGAGAUAGCUAGACGUUAUCAAAAGGUGUCAAAAACAGUCUGUCUUUGUCCCAUCUCUUUCUCUUGUAAAGUAAGUCUUCUUUUUCCUCCGGGCCUGACAGAGCUCAAGGAUCAUGGGGAACCUGGUGUUGAAGAAAAAAAAAGGCCCAGUUUGUCAUCAUCCAUAAACUGCUGCUGCUCCAAUAUAAGUAUGAGACUUGUGUUUGGAGGAUUCUUCUAGGCUACCUGGCUCAGGGCAGGGAGAGGCCACUACUGAUACAGGUCAGUGUUGUGAUGAUGUGUAUUUAUUACAAUGUUGUUGACUGUGUGUGUGCGUGUGGGCCAACCCCCUCUGGAGCAGCAACUCUAUGUGAACCAGGCUCUGAUGCUGUACAUGGGGCUACUGAGUAAUGCAAAGCUACAGUACAGGAGCUACGCAUAAGUAACACCCAACACUACGGCACAGUAUUAUGUCACACGAUCAGAGACCUGUCCACCUCUGGGUUUUGUUCAUUUGAGAAAUGGGAAAAAAAAACAACAAUGAGCGUUUUGUUAUGGGACGUGUCCAUAUAGUCCUGCCUUGUUGAAGUCAGUUUUCUUCUGUUUGGUGCCUAAUGAUCACAACCCUGAUGUCCUUCCCCCUGUCAGAGCUACUGCAAUGCAUGCCGAGAGGAUUGCAUAGCCACCAUGCGUGUGAGGCGCAUGGGCAUGGUGGUGGGGGAGUGUCUCAAUAUGUCGAUGCCAGUGAUUAAAGGAGUAAGAAUAAGAUACAAUGCCCAACCCAAAAUAUAAGCUUGUACAAAUCAAUUCUCUGUUGGUUGCUUAAAUAAUAAUGAUUACUAAAUGUUACAUGAAAUGUUCAUAUCAACAUGCAAUCCCCUUUCUUAAUAUGUAUUGGCAAUAAUUCAAUUAAUGGUGAGGCAUGUAGUAAUAAAAAAACGUAUCUUUGCCAUACAGAUUGCAAAAUAGUUGGGAAGAGAUUUUUGAUGUACUGAUUCCAUGGUACAGGGUGUAUGAGUUGAUAUAUAAAACAACACAAGAUUUAAGACUUCGUGCUUUUCAGCUAAAGUUAUUAUAUA